GUAGUAUUCCCUUCGUCCCAAAAUUCUUGUCUUACAUUUGUUUAGAUACGGAUGUAUCCAACACUAAAAUGUAACUAUAUACAUCCGUAUUUAGAGAAAUUUAAGACAAGAGCUUUGGGACAGAGGGAGUACAAA
rfam:Triticum aestivum genome assembly, contig: Triticum_aestivum_CS42_TGACv1_scaffold_471195_6AL